rnacentral:misc_RNA from 1 species
CAACCCUCAAGCCUUGCUUGGUGUUGGGCCCCGCCCGCUGCGGCCGGCCCCAAAGUCAGUGGCGGCACCGUACGGUCCUAAGCGUAGUAAUACUCUCGCUCCAGGGCCCUACGGCCGCGCGCCAGAACCCCAACUCUUAU